rnacentral:rRNA from 1 species
GCUCAACCGAGGAAGUGCUUCGAAAACUGGUAAACUUGAGUGCAGAAGAGGAAAGUGGAACUCCAUGUGUAGCGGUGGAAUGCGUAGAUAUAUGGAAGAACACCAGUGGCGAAGGCGGCUUUCUGGUCUGUAACUGACGCUGAGAUUCGAAAGCAUGGGUAGCAAACAGGAUUAGAUACCCUGGUAGUCCAUGCCGUAAACGAUGAGUGCUAAGUGUUGGAGGGUUUCCGCCCUUCAGUGCUGCAGCUAACGCAUUAAGCACUCCGCCUGGGGAGUACGAUCGCAAGAUUGAAACUCAAAGGAAUUGACGGGGGCCCGCACAAGCGGUGGAGCAUGUGGUUUAAUUCGAAGCAACGCGAAGAACCUUACCAGGUCUUGACAUACCAUGAAAAGCUUAGAGAUAAGUCUUUCCCUUCGGGGACAUGGAUACAGGUGGUGCAUGGUUGUCGUCAGCUCGUGUCGUGAGAUGUUGGGUUAAGUCCCGCAACGAGCGCAACCCUUAUUAUCAGUUGCCAGCAUUCAGUUGGGCACUCUGGUGAGACUGCCGGUGAUAAACCGGAGGAAGGUGGGGACGACGUCAAAUCAUCAUGCCCCUUAUGACCUGGGCUACACACGUGCUACAAUGGUCGGUACAACG